rnacentral:rRNA from 1 species
AUACGGAGGGUGCAAGCGUUAAUCGGAAUUACUGGGCGUAAAGGGUACGUAGGCGGUUAUGUCAGUCGGAUGUGAAAGCCCCGGGCUCAACCUGGGAAUUGCAUUUGAUACUGCAUAGCUAGAGUUUGGUAGAGGGAAGCGGAAUUCCCGGUGUAGCGGUGAAAUGCGUAGAGAUCGGGAGGAACACCAGUGGCGAAGGCGGCUUCCUGGACCAACACUGACACUGAGGCGCGAAAGCGUGGGGAGCAAACAGGAUUAGAUACCCCAGUAGUCC